AGAGUUUGAUCCUGGCUCAGGACGAACGCUGGCGGCGUGCUUAAUACAUGCAAGUCGAACGGGGUCCAUUCGGUGGUAACACCGAUGAAGACCUAGUGGCGAACGGGUGCGUAACACGUGAGCAACCUGCCCCGAAGACCGGGAUAACACCGGGAAACCAGUGCUAAUACCGGAUACCCCCACCAUCUCGCAUGGGAAGGUGAGGAAAGGAUUCUGCUUCGGGAGGGGCUCGCGGCCUAUCAGCUUGUUGGUGAGGUAACGGCUCACCAAGGCGACGACGGGUAGCUGGUCUGAGAGGACGAUCAGCCACACUGGGACUGAGACACGGCCCAGACUCCUACGGGAGGCAGCAGUAGGGAAUCUUGCGCAAUGGGCGAAAGCCUGACGCAGCAACGCCGCGUGGGGGAUGAAGGCCUUCGGGUUGUAAAGCACUUUUAAG
rnacentral:rRNA from 1 species